rnacentral:rRNA from 1 species
GUCCACGCCGUAAACGAUGUCUACUAGCCGUCGGGGAGCUUGACUCUUUGGUGGCGCAGCUAACGCGAUAAGUAGACCGCCUGGGGAGUACGGCCGCAAGGUUAAAACUCAAAUGAAUUGACGGGGGCCCGCACAAGCGGUGGAGCAUGUGGUUUAAUUCGACGCAACGCGAAGAACCUUACCAGGUCUUGACAUCCUCGGAACUUAGCAGAGAUGCUUUGGUGCCUUCGGGAAUCGAGUGAC